UGCUGCUGUUGAUCAGCUUCAGUCUUUCUGCACCUCGGGGGAAGGCCUUCAGCGUUUAGAGCAGCACAACAAGUCCCACAAAACGAGCUCAGGGUGCUAAAUACUCCUGAGGCUUUCCCUCCAUACCGCUGUCCCACCCGGUGCGUACCGGGGUGCGUUUCCAUGCCCAGCUGCAAUGACAAACCCUUGCUGCAUGCGAGCAGCAACCAGGAUGUCUCUGGGCUCACCCUGGCUGCAGAGGGACAUUUCUCCUUACUGUUCGUAUUUUUUUAUCCCUGCCGUUGGAGCACUGACCCUGGCUUAGGUCGAGGUGUGUAGAGUCAGAGCCACGCAGACUCGCUACCCCCGUGGAGCAGCCCGCAGGCUGUAGACAGGUCGGUUUUUCCUCUCCAAGGACACAUCAGUUCAGCAAGUCCUGCUCCUCUUGAGCCCUCCUCCUCCCCUGCUCUCUCUCCCUUCACCCCCGGUGCCUUCACGCCCUGCAGGGACCUGUUUUUGAGGCUCCCUCGGGUCCGUGGGUGCCAGCUCCUGCCUGGAGGCAGCAGCUGCCGGGCGGCCGUGCCGGCAGGGAGGUCGCAGCGGGAGCACGGGGCGUGGGAGGGGAGGCAGGAAUAAGAUCCUGGCAGCGAGCUGGGACUUGCUGCCUCUCCGAGCUCAUCCCCAGGGCCACGCCAGAGAGCCGUCCCUCCUGCCUGGCACGUUUCUCUCCCUUUCUCCCCCACCCCUGCGCCUGGGAUUACACAGUCCUGGGGUGGCUCUGCUCUUGGGUGUGGGACUUGAAACUGGUCGAACCAACCCCCAGCAGGUGAUUCACUGGACGUGCUCUGGCCUCUGCUUUGUUCCCGCAGAGUCUGUCAGCAGCUGGUGAUUUUUUUCACCUCCUGCCAGAGCUGUUGCUCGCAUCUGAGAUGUCCAAAAGAGCAGACUCCGCUCAUCCCCUGCCUCCCUGCCCUGGUGCUUCCCUUUUUCUCUGCAAGAUGUGGUGGCGCUGUACCACGGGCUUCAUCUUCGCAUGGUUUGAAAGCCUCGGGGUGCAGGAGAGCAGCUCCUGGUUGUGGAGGUAACCCCAGAAGGGGUUUGAGGUCCUGGAGCUGGGGUGCUAACGCCCACAUCUCCCUGGAUGGAAGCUCCGUGGUUGGUACCAAGCCUUGCUGCCUGAGCCGGGUUAUCUCAGGGCUGCUGUGUGUUUGCUGGGAAUUGCUGCUUCCAUCUGUGUGCAUCUCUGGGGACGUGGUUCUGGGUCCAAACCCUGCUCUUGCUUUCACCCUGUGAAGGCUGAGGCCUGGCAGCUCGGCUCCCCUGACCUCCCCCAAGCCCUGGCACAGCCCCAAGCCGUGUCCUUGCAGCCUCCUUCGCAGGAGCUCGUGCCCUGCUUUGCCCGGGGGAAAGGAAGAUGUUCCACUGCGUGCACAGCAGAAGCAGCCUCCUCGUGUGGGCCGAUGCCACCGCCCUCCCCAGCGAGCCCUGGCAGCCUCCAGCAGCCUCCUCCUGCCUUGCUCCCAGCCCCGCCGAGGGCUGUGCUUAAAAACGGCCGCCUGGGAACGGGCAUUGUCCUCCAGCGAACUUCUAGGGUGUCGUGGCAUUGAUUAUUUUUCCUCCCCUAAUAAAUGCAGGGCUUGGCUCCGGCACAAAAUCCAUCUCAUCCCAGCUCACGCCGGGAAGGGAGAGGUGAAGGCAGCGGCGGCUGAUGGCCAAGCUGCCGAGCGGAGAGAAGCGAGGGGAGGAGCACGGGGAGGGGAGGCAGCCCGGGGAGUGUGGGGGGAGAGGAAACACCAGGGGGGAAAUGGUCAGGGGAGAGCAGCCUGAGGUGGACAGAGCAGGACCGUGGUGGCAGGGGAGAAUGGAAGGAAAACCUCGCAGAAAGGGGCGAUCUGGAAGCUGUUCUUUCUGCCGCAAUUCGUGAUGCGCCUUCCCCUGGCAGAAGCUGCAGACUGGAGGUGUCUGGGGAGGAAUCGGCGGGGUUUUGGGGCCGUGUGAGUGCUGGGGCGAGGGAAGAAAUCCUCGCUGCCUGUGACCCUGAGCACCCGGCGUACCCCAGUGCCAGUCCCCGAGGACGUGGUUUGGAAGUGGCCGCUGUGCCCAGCCCGCUGAGGUCGCACCGGUCUUUCCCCUCUCCAGCCACGCGGUUAUUUGGAGCAGGGGUGAAAACCCAUGCUCCUGCUGCCAGUUGCCAAGGCAGUUUCUUCAAAAAGGGAGAGGAGCAGGGAAGGAGGGAGCUGCCUGGAGAGGAGGCAGACGAUGCGCACGAGGACGAGGUGGCGAGGAGCCCGCAACCACCAGCGAUGGAGGCAGAGGAGCUCUCCAAAACGCUGCCCAUGGCUGAGGGUUUUUUCCCUGGUGUCUUUUCCCAUCUGUGGUUUCUCUGGUCUCGGAGAAGCCCCGUGCGUGGCUGCGGUGAGGACCCUGGGGCGAGCGGCACCGCUGAGCCCUCCCCUCCGUCCCUCUGUGGCUUUGCGUGGCUGCCAACAGGACCAGAGCCUCUCCCUAGCCCCGUGUCAGCUGCUGGUGUCCCAGCAGAUCGCCGCCAGGCCCCUGCGGCAGGGCCUGUGCUUCAGCACCAAGGGCACACAGACGUCUUCUGAGUGGGAAAUGGACUUAGAGCUCACCUCGUCCCUCCUGCGGCUACACCACCUGCACCCAGCCACCUCUGUCGAAGCGUGGCUCCAGAAAUGGCAUUUACGUGGACUUUUGCCUAACAUGCGGUAGUUGUUUGACUGCAUAAAUAACCCUCCCCUCCAAAAAAUACAAAAAUAAAAAGGGCAGCUCCAGCUAUCGGUGUCUAACCAUGGCAAUGCAAGCGCUGACCAAGUUACCGUGUGAAAUCGCCUGCGGGUUUGUGCAAGCAGACCCCACGCCGCACGGCCGAUGUUUUCCCAGUUUCUCCAGUUAGAAGCGGUGCAGAACCCGGCGGGGCUGCUUCCCUACAGGCCACCACAUGCGGGGUGGGGGGGAUCCCCAGCCCUGGGCCCUGAGCUGUGCUCAGUCUGAGGGGUUUCUGUUGGAAGGGAUAACUUAUUUUUUUUAGCCCGUGUAAGGAAAUGACUGCAGCGCCAUCAGCAUCGCUGAGUUUGGCUUGGAAAAGAAAGCAAACCCACCCCCAGCCCUGGUGUCCCCCAGCCCCACGCUCACCCUGGCGGAGGAGCCGGGCUCCAGAAGCGUUUCGUAAUUGUACGCGGCGCGUUUCGUUUCAAUUAGGAGUUCCUUCAUUGCAAAAUGCGUUUGCUUUUAUACUCUGUCUGUGUGCAUAUCUAUGUCAUAUCUACCUAUCUAUACACUAAUAAAUAUAUAUGGCCUGUUUUAAAGUGCCAAUUUAUAAAAAGCUGCCUCCUUCCAAGGCAGACAAGACCCAAUUUCAUCCAUGACAAGAAGGGAGCAGAAUUGACUGAAUAUUGCCAAAUGACGUAAAACAUAAUUUAAAAUUUCUUAAAUAAAUAUAAAAGUUAUUCCUAAAGAAGCCAUAGGCAUGUCAACAAUAUAGGUUGUAACCGGCGCUCAACAGCUAAAGUACCAUUGAAAAACUAAAAUGCCAUAGCAACUUCAGCAAUAGGCAUGAUACAUUGCAAACAUUUUGUUUUUAAAUUAAAUGUACACCACAAGGAACUUAAAAAAUGCUAUUGGUGCAGUAAUGAGAAGACUUCUCGGGUGUUACGGGGAAGGGGACCAUGCAUAGAAAGCUGUGUCUGUAUAUUCGUUGUAAAACAGGUCUAUAAAGUGUAAAGCAGGUAACGCAGUUGAUACAAGAAACCAACCCUAUACGAGAUGCCAAGUGAUGUAACGCGACUGGCUCCAGUUUCGACAGCAAUGGAUAUUAAAGCAAGUCCAUCCAGUGCAGGUAAGAGAUGAGCUUCACUGCAGUAAUACUGAAGUUGCCUUUUUCAGCACUUAGCACAGUGAGGUGGGGCGAGGGGAGGAGAAAUGCUCCAAGAAAGGGCGCGGGGACGCGGCGACGCCGGUCUUCUGCCCGCCGGUCAGGACGGUGGCCGCGGGAGGGCUGCUCCUGGCGAGCAGCAGGCGUGGGCCCCCUCGAAAUUGCUCCCGGGGCUGCCACCGCGUUCAGCUCCUCCGGGCUGGAGUUCCACAACUGCUUCCUGCCGGCUGCUUCGCGUACGUGUUGGAGAAGGACAUGGCUCUGAGUUUCGGGAAUCACAGUAGUGCGCAGUGGGUACAGCAGGGAGCAAACACUUGUGAAACUCCCACAGGAGCAGCUCCCAGCCCUUUCUUAAAGCACUUUUUUUGUUUUUGUUUGUUUGUUUGUUUGUUUGCAUUCAGGGAAACCAACUGCAGGCUUAUUUGAUCCAAUUUUCUCUUUGCACCAUACACAUAUAAAACAUUACAACUCUGUAUAAAAGUACAAGUGGUUCUUGUACAUCUGAAUUAUGCAGGAACUAUGUGAGCAAAUCCUAUCAAAAUAGCUAUUUUUUGUGUGUAUAAACAGCAUUUGUUUUUAGAAAAAACAAUAUCAUAAACUGCAGAAUCUGUACAAAAAUAUAAAAUAAAUUUGGGCAGCAGUUUCUAAACAGCCAUGUAAAUGCAACACUUAAAGAGGAGCAGGUUAAUGCCUCCAAAAGGCUGAAUUGCUAAGUCAACCUAUACAGGGCUAAAAUGGUAUUGAGAUUAUCUAAAUAAUAAAUUUUUUUACCUCUUGCAAUAAAACUUAUAGAAAAAAUAGACAAAUAUGCACAUGCAAUUUACAGCUUUCCCAAACAUAAUCCUUGUGCUUAGCUUUUACAAUUUUUUUUUUUUUGUAAUAACAUAACAUUGUCUACAAUACAUAUUCUUUCGUAUACCAGGAUAUUCGGUCUUCCUUGAGGAACCACUUUAAAAAAAAUACAUUAGAAGUGGUCAUACAUGGAUGAAGGCACUCCAACUCUGCUUGAAGCAAAAACUAGUGUGAUCCUUUUCUUUUCAAAAAAGGCAAGCAAGGACGCAUGCACAGUGCUGUGAAUCGGGGGCGGGAGGGACUAUGGAAAUACUACCAAGUGUAUAUACUGGUACUUAAAAUUAAAAUAAAAUUAAAAAAAAAAAAAAA